UUCAGACACUGUUUCUGGCCUGAAAAACAAAACACUCGUGAAACAGCCAAGGGUCCCAAUCUGCUCAGGGAACAUGUUGUCCUCUCCUGUUUGCAGGGCCAUUUCUUGGACAAGCAGCAGCUCUGUUUGCUGGACUUUUGGCCCCAUGCAGUCACUGUGAGGCAAGGCACAUCUCACACAAACGGGCCAGUGAAAUGAGGAGAAAAGAAAAGGAGAAUGGAAUCCAAAACUCUGGAGGACAUUUCUGGCUGAAAAUUUGAAGGGCCAUGUUUUACAGUGAGGUUGGAGAUCAUUGGGGAUCUUCAUGGAAGAGCAUACAUUUGAGCUGAAGAUGUAAACAAGCAUAGUUUGAGCAUGGAAACAAGGAGGAUUCCAGCAAAGGAAACUCAAAAGAAUAGUGACAGAAAACAAAGGCAGUCAUUUGGUUCAGGUGCAAGUGACCAGGUAAAGGAUUUCAGGGCAUAAAUUUGGCAGAGCAAACCAUGGGAAGUUUGAAGGACCUGGAAUCUCAAACCUGGGAGUUUAUAAUCUCUUCUAUAGUUGCUUGGAAAGGAUGGACUAAUUUUGAUUGAGACUUGACCAGAACUGGGAUAUAAAAAGAUUCAUCUGGCAAAGUAUAGCAUGAAAUUAAGACAGAAAAAACAAGAGGUGGACCUAAACAUAAGACCUGAAUCUAUAAAAAUCCUAAAAGAAAACAUAGAGAAUACUCUUCUGGACAUUGGCCUUGGCAAAAAAAAAAAAAUUAUAACCAAGUUCUCAAAAGCAAACACAACAAAACCAAAAAUAGACAAAUGGGACUUAAUUAAAUGAAAGAGCUUCUGCACAGCAAAAGAAACAAUCAACAAAGUAAAUAGACAUUUCACAGAAUGGGAAAAAAUAUUUGCAAACUAUACACCCAGUGAAGGGCUAAUAUCCAGAAUCUACAAGGAAUUCAAACAAUUCGACAAGAAAAGAACAAAUAACUCUAUUAAAAAGUGGGCAAAGGACAUGAACAGACAUUUUCAAAACAAGACAUACAAGCGGCAAACCAGCAUAAGAAAACAUACUCAACAUCAUUAAUCAUCAGAGAAAUGCAAAUUAAAACCACAAUGAGAUACCAGCUUGCACCAGUCAGAAUGACUUAAUAAAAAGUCUAAAAACCACAGAUAUUAGCAAGCAUACAAAGGCAAGGGAAUGCUUAUACAUUGUUGGUGGGAAUGUAAAGUAGUACAGCCUUUAUGGAAAACAGUAUAGAGAUUUCUCAAAGAGCUAAAAUAGAACUACCAUUCAAUCUAGCAAUCCCAGUACUGGGUAUAUGACUAAAGGGAAAUAAAUCAUUACAUAAAAAAGACACCUGCAUUUGUCUGUUUAUUGCAGCACUAUUUACAAUAGCAAAGAUAUGGAAUCAACAGCUUAAGUGUCCAUCAGGAGAGGACUGAAUAAUGAAAAUGUGGUAUAUGUACCAUGGGAUACUGCUCAGACAUAGAAAAGAAAGAAAGCAUAUCUUUUGCAGCAACAUAGUUGGAAUUUGAGGCCAUUAUCCUCAGUUAAAUAACUCAGAAACAGAAAGUCAAAUACCACAUGUUCUCACUUAUAAGUGGGAGCUAAACAGUGGGUACACAUGGACAUAUAGAGUGGAAUAAUAGACAUUGAAGUAUACAAAAGGGAGGAAGAUGGGAAAGGGAUGAGGGUUGAAAAACUACCUUUAGGGUAUAAUAUUCACUAUACAGAUGAUGGGUACACUAAAAACCCAGACUUUCUUUUUUAUUAUUUAUUAUUUAUUUUUUAUUAUUAUUAUACUUUUAAGUUUUAGGGUACAUGUGCACAACGUGCAGGUUUGUUACAUAUGUAUACAUGUGCCAUGUUGGUGUGCUGCACCCAUUAAGUCAUCAUUUAGCAUUAGGUAUAUCUCCUAAUGCUAUCCCUCCCCCCUCCCCCCACCCCACAACAGUCCCCGGUGUGUGAUGUUCCUCUUCCUGUGUCCAUGUGUUCUCAUUGUUCAAUUCCCACCUAUGAGUGAGAACAUCCGGUGUUUGGUUUUUUAACCUUGUGAUAGUUUGCUGAGAAUGAUGGUUUCCAGUUUCAUCCAUGUCCUUAAAAAGGACAUGAAC
rnacentral:lncRNA from 1 species